rnacentral:lncRNA from 1 species
GAAAGGGGUUAUACAGGGUCAAACACCAAGGCAGGUUAGUGAAAUUUCUCUAGAGGCCAUUUAAAGCUGGAGUCUCACCACCUGAACUGCCCUCAGAGGAAGGCUGUCUAGGGCACAAACCUAGUCAGGGGUCCACAUGGACUUAAGGACAAUUUUUUUUUUUUUUUUUUUUUUUGAGACAGUCUCAUUCUGUCAUCAAGGCUCGAGUGCAGUGGUGUGAACUCAGCUCACUGCAAGUCUCAACCUCCUGGGCUCAGGUGAUCCUCCCACCUCAGCCUCCCGAGUAGCGGGAACCACAGGCUCGUGCCAUGAUGCCCAAUUAAUUUUCUUUUAAAUUUUUUGUAGAGAUGAGGUCUCCCCGUGUUGCUCAGUCUAAUCUUGAACUCCUGGACUCAAAUGAUCCUCCUGCCUCUGCUCCUCAAAGUCCUGGGACUACAGGUGUGAGCCAAUGCACCUGGCCUCUUAUGAAUAAUUUUAAAAACAAUGAGGUUCACCGUCAGAGCCCCUGCUGCUCUACCAAGUCCCUUGGCCCCUCUCAACAGGGCAAAAGCAAGAUGAGCCCCAGAUGUUCUGCUUAAUGACCACCUUUCCCAGGAGACUUUGCUCUUUAAAGGAGAACCACUUAGAGAUAUGAGCAACCUUAAAGAAUGCCACCAGCACUAGUGAAUGCCAGGCACGGGCCACGUGGGUGGAGAGUAUACUUUAGGGCAGUCACUCAUGGUAAAUUAUUUCCACCAGCCCCCAGAAGUGACUAUUCAAUGUCCAACUAUGUCAGGCCCAGGCUAAUAAAAGUAGAGGCAUGAGGAACCUAGGGUUGUUCUGAAGUGCCUUGAUUAUGGUACAUGUGGAAGAUUUUAGAGCUUGUUGUAAAAAGUGAUGACCCAUGGCCCCCCAGGCUGGGUCUGGGAUUCCCUUUGUGGAUUACAAGAGGAUAUUAUGCAGCAGUUUUUAAAAAUGAGGCAGACUGGGACAAUCUAUCUCCAAGAUGCAUAGGUGCUGUUAAGGGAACAAAGCAAGAUUUAGUAGGGCGUGUAUAGUAUGCUACUGUGCGCUGUGCGUUAUCUGUACAGAACUGUGAGGUCUGAUACAGUAGCCACUAGCCACAUAUGGCUAUUUACAUAUAAAUUUAGGUUGGCCACAGUGGCUCAUGCCUGUAAUCCUAGCACUUUGGGAGGCCAAGUGGGAGGAUAGCUUGAGGCCAAUAGUUCAAGAACACCCUGGGCAACAUAGUGAAGCCCCUUUUCUACAAAAAAUUUAUUUAUUUAUUUAUUUUUAUUUUUUUUGAGACGGGUCUCACUCUGUCACCCAGGCUGGAGUGCAGUGGCGCAGUCUCAGCUUAUUACAACAUCUGCCUCCUGGGUUCAAGCGAUUAUCGUGCCUCAGCCUCCAAGUAGCUGGGACUACAGGCACGCACCACCAUACCCAGCAAAUUUUUGUAUUUUUGGUAGAGACAAGGUUUUGCCAUGUUGGCCAGGCUGGUCUUGAACUCCUGACCUCAGGCGAUCCCCCUGCCUCGGCCUCCCAAAGUGUUGGGAUUACAGGCAUGAG